UACGAAGGGGGCUAGCGUUGCUCGGAAUCACUGGGCGUAAAGGGUGCGUAGGCGGGUCUUUAAGUCAGGGGUGAAAUCCUGGAGCUCAACUCCAGAACUGCCUUUGAUACUGGAGAGUCUUGAGUUCGGGAGAGGUGAGUGGAACUGCGAGUGUAGAGGUGAAAUUCGUAGAUAUUCGCAAGAACACCAGUGGCGAAGGCGGCUCACUGGCCCGAUACUGACGCUGAG
rnacentral:rRNA from 1 species